rnacentral:rRNA from 1 species
CCUACGGGAGGCAGCAGUGGGGAAUAUUGCACAAUGGGCGGAAGCCUGAUGCAGCAACGCCGCGUGCGGGAUGACGGCCUUCGGGUUGUAAACCGCUUUCGCCUGUGACGAAGCGUGAGUGACGGUAAUGGGUAAAGAAGCACCGGCUAACUACGUGCCAGCAGCCGCGGUGAUACGUAGGGUGCGAGCGUUGUCCGGAUUUAUUGGGCGUAAAGGGCUCGUAGGUGGUUGAUCGCGUCGGAAGUGUAAUCUUGGGGCUUAACCCUGAGCGUGCUUUCGAUACGGGUUGACUUGAGGAAGGUAGGGAAGAAUGGAAUUCCUGGUGGAGCGGUGGAAUGCGCAGAUAUCAGGAGGAACACCAGUGGCGAAGGCGGUUCUCUGGGCCUUUCCUGACGCUGAGGAGCGAAAGCGUGGGGAGCGAACAGGCUUAGAUACCCUGGUAGUCCACGCUGUAAACGGUGGGUACUAGGUGUGGGGUCCAUUCCACGGGUUCCGCGCCGUAGCUAACGCUUUAAGUACCCCGCCUGGGGAAUACGGCCGCAAGGCUAAAACUCAAAGGAAUUGACGG